GUUCAGAUUGUAGGCUGCAACUCGCCUAUAUGAAGUUGGAAUUGCUAGUAAUCGCGGAUCAGCAUGCCGCGGUGAAUACGUUCCCGGGCCUUGUACACACCGCCCGUCACACCAUGAGAGCCGGUAAUACCCGAAGUCAGUAUCCUAACCGCAAGGGGGGAGCUGCCGAAGGUAGGAUUGGCGAUUGGGGUGAAGUCGUAACAAGGUACC
rnacentral:rRNA from 1 species